UCAGAUAAACAGCUCGAUUGCGCACAGAGCGCAUGUUGGAGAAGAUCCGAUAUUACCACACCCAGGGACACUUGUGUACUAGAGAAAAAAACAUGUUAAGACAAAAUAUACAUUUCAAACGCUACAAAGCAAAGCCAAAUAUGGCUGAAAUAAUGUUUUAUUUUCAUUUAUUUAUUAUUAGUUGAAGUAAUGUCGGCAGAUUCUUUUUAAUUUUUGGAACAACGUCAUCACGUGUACGUGCAAACGCUUGUGGGUAAAUGUAUUCUGCGCGGUCAUCACGUUCACCAUGUUGAGAGAACGUGAAGGAGUGGUGUGUCUGUGUGUCUGUGUGUGUGUCUUUGCAGGUCUGGGUCGUCAAGGGGAUGGGCUGCACCUGGGGCAGGCGGUAUAAAGAGCUCUCCCAGCCGGCGUGGGUCUCUCUGGUCGGGCACCCCUCUGCUCUCACCCCGUGAGAGCGCGAUUGCGGAAUAUACAGUUCCUACCACUAAAAAGGAACUUCAGCGUUUUCUUGGCCUUGUUGGGUACUAUCGCAGUUUUUGUAAGAACUUUUCCACAGUGGUAGCUCCCCUGACUAACUUGCUUAAGGGAAAAGUUAAGUUUGUGUGGUCAGCCUCGUGUCAGCAGGCUUUUGUCAGUGUGAAGGAUGUGUUGUGUUCCCCUCCUGUUCUUGCAGCUCCACGCAUUGAUCAGCCGUUCAGCCUGCAUGUGGAUGCAAGUGAUGUGGGGACAGGAGCGGUGCUGUUCCAGACUGACCAAGGUGGUAUUGAUCGUCCCGUGAGUUUUUUCUCUAAGAAGUUUAAUCGGUUUCAGUUGAACUACUCUGUAAUUGAGAGGGAAACCCUGGCGCUGAUCUGGGCUCUGCAGCAUUUCGAUGUUUACGUAGGCUCUAGUGUUCCUCUGGUUGUGUACACGGACCACAACCCCAUAACUUUCUUGCACUCCGUCCAUUGCCCUAAUCGCAGGUUGAUGCGAUGGAUGUUGUACUUGCAGUCCUAUUGUUUGGACAUCCGCCACAUCAAAGGCUCAGAGAAUGUUGUGGCUGAUGCCUUGUCCAGGGUUCCUGGCUUCUAGGGUAUGUAUUGGCCCGACUGGGUUGUUUGACCCCUGUGAUCGUCUGUCUCUUCUCUGUGUUUUUGCGUGCUUCUUCAGGUGCCGGCGUUGCUGUGUGCAGGCAUGGUCGGUGUUGAUGUUGGGUCAGCUGCAAGUGUGGUUGUGGUGUUUUCAGUGGUUGUUUGUGUUGGUUGGCUGCUGUUGCGUCCUAUGAGCCGGGACCUAACAGAAAAUGGCACAACAAUCGCCUGAGAAAGUUCUGACCCUGAGGAGGCAGAGCUGAGGAGAAACUGCCAGUUAUUCUGUUACCAGUGCUUGGAUGAGGCCAUUCCAAGGCCUGUUUUAUAUGAGAAGGCCUUGGAAUGGUCUCAGCAGGCAGUCGCGGACCUGCUGAGAGCCCGCAGGCAGAGGAGGGCAGCAGAGGCCAAAAUCAUUGAGAGGGAGCUCCUCGUAUCAAAACUGAAGAGGGACCUGGCCUCCUCUCAGGAACAAAUAGAGAACCUGACGGCCAAUUUAGCCAUGAUGGGAGAUGACUUUGACCUAGAGUCGGAACAGGUGGGGCAGGUGGAGCAGGUGGAG